CUUCCUGACCCAGGGAUCGAACCUGGGUCUCCCACACUGUCAGCAGACCCUUUACCGUCUGAGCCACCAGGGA
rnacentral:tRNA from 1 species